UAAGAAGAAGAAGAAAAAAU
rnacentral:sRNA from 1 species